rnacentral:lncRNA from 1 species
CCAGCACGCAGGAGAGACUGAAAAGAGAAGAAAGGGUUGUCACUCACCACCAGUUCAUGGCUGGAUGGAGGAACGCAAGGGGCAGCCACCUGUGAGAGAGCACCCUGGCCCCUAGCCACCCUCUCAGGAGCCCAGAAUGUGCCAGGAGAACCAGGAGCCGUACCACCCCAUGGCCUGUGCUCAAGAGCCCCACACUCCAGUCCGCCAUCAGCAGUGGCUGACUCCCCUGACUGGAGGACUUACAAGCUCUGGGCUGUCUUCAAGGGCUCUGAUGACAGCCCUGCUGUGACCUCCUCACCUUCAGGCGAGGCACCCAGGAUUCCAGACACAGGUAGUCAGUCUCAGUAAAAUACACGUAACAUAUAAAGUUCCACCUUGGGGGCUAGAGAUGGGCUCAGCGGUAGAACUCUUGACUGGAAUAUACAAGAGGCUGGAUUCAGUACCCAGUACCACGAUGAUGAUGACGAUGACUGUGGCAGCAGCGGUGGUGGCGGUGGCUGUGGAUUUUUUAAAGUUUUUAAAAUAAAAAAGUAUCAUUUAAUCAUUUCUAAAUAU